GUUUGUCAAUUUCGUAAGCAGGGAAGAUGCACAGCGAGCUAUCAGCACCUUGAACGGGUAUGGUUAUGAUAACCUCAUCCUGAGAGUUGAAUGGGCCACUCCUAGGCCCAGUUAGAUCCGUUUUUCUCUUGUUUAAAUUAUUUUCUGUAAAAACUAAAGAUGAUUAAAUGCAUGUGUAUGCUUCGUAUAUUAUUAAACUCGUGUUUGCAAUUAAAAAAAAAAACUUUAAACUUCCAUUAGCAGCUUAAUUUACCCAAAUACCCUUAAUUUCCCGGGAAAACCAAAGAAACGAUAAUUAGUAUCAUUAUGCUUCUGAGAUUCCGAUAGAUAGAUGAAGAAGCUCUUCGUAGGAGGCAAUCUUCUCAGAAGCUCUAGUUUCUUCAAGAUCUC
rnacentral:lncRNA from 1 species